AGUGAACGCUGGCGGCAGGCCUAACACAUGCAAGUCGAGCGGCAGCGCGGUGACAACCCUGGCGGCCAGCGGCGGACGGGUGAGGAAUUCGUCGGAAUCUGCCCUUGUGUGUGGGAUAACGUAGGGAAACUGACGCUAAUACCGCAUACCUGCUACGGGCGAACGUGGGGGACCGCAAGGCCUCCCGCAGAUGGAUGAGUCGACGACCGAUUAGAUAGUUGGUGGGGUAAAGGCUCACCGAGGCGCCGAUCGGUAGCUGGCCCGAGAGGCUGAUCAGCCACACUGGGACUGAGACACGGCCCAGACUCCUACGGGAGGCAGCAGUGGGGAAUAUUGGACAAUGGGCGCAAGCCUGAUCCAGCCAUACCGCGUGUGUGAAGAAGGCCUUCGGGUUGUAAAGCACUUUUGUCCGGAAAGAAAUACAUGGAGCUAAUACCUUCGGGGGAUGACGGUACCGGAAGAAUAAGCACCGGCUAACUUCGUG
rnacentral:rRNA from 1 species